rnacentral:tRNA from 2 species
GGGAUCGUGGGGUAGCUUGGUAACCUUCAGCGUUUGGGACGCUGUACCCCCAGUUCAAAUCUGGGCGAUCCCA